GCUCGCCUGGCUCCGCCUCCAUCCCGGAACGGCCCCUGAGUCCGGGUCUGCGCAAAGCAUCGUGUCCUGACGGGACCGGACCCCGGGCGGGCGGGCGGACGGGGGGGUCACACGCCUCUACCCCCGCUAGGCAAGAGCGACCCCUGCCCGCCGCGCCAGGGCUGUGGCGGACGCGCGGCUGGACGAGGCAGCGCUGGUGCCGAGUGCCUACGGAUGCUAAUUGAGGUCCAGGACCCUACUGCACCAGAUGCUAUGCAGACAGAGUAAGAAGACAGUGUCUACCCCAAAUGGCUCAUCAUAUCAUGACAAAGACAAAAAAAAAGGCAGAUGAAAAGCAAAUUGGGGGAGGGGGGAACGACACAACAAGAAAGGAUAACAGGCAACACCCAGACUUCCUUCAGCAGCCCCAGCCCCAACCCUAACCUGAUUGAAGGAUGGCUCCUAACCCCAGCUGUGAGAUUAUGUCCUGCCACAAGCUACAUGGUCUCUGCACCAAUGGAACACCAUAAGGCCUCAGUGGGAAAACGCAGAGAGUUCUAUUUUUCCUACUAAAGAACCAUGCAACAAGAAAACAUGUACAAGAUAGACUGGGAAAAUGGCAUAAUGGUAUCACCUGAGUUUCAUCCAAUAUGGCCUCAGAAAAAUGUACUGUAUUGACAUGUGCCAUAAUAUGUUCAAAACUAUCAAGGAGAAUGUUUCUGGAUAGUAGUAGCUCAUACCAGUUACAACCUGGUACCUAUGCAAGUAUUACUGUGCCAACUACUGGCACCUUUUCUGGAAACAGUGGAAGCAAGACAACAGAGCUGCAAAAACUCAACAAGCUGUUUUGAACAGAGAUAAACAAGAACACUGUGGGGCUGAAUCCAGCUGACCCACUACACCCUUUCACAGGCAAGAAGCCAGUCAACCCACUAUGCUAACGUUUUCACUUGACCCAGGUGACUUAACAGAUAGCAAUUCCAAUUAGCUCAGUCCAGCUAUUAAAGAUAUUAAAGCAUCAAAUGCAAUCCUCCCCAUUUAUUAAAGUGGCUUUGAAAAUUAAAUGGUUUCAGAUGAGAUCAACUACAGUGGAACAUAUAUAUCAGUGCACCAAAUCCUCCUCUGCAACCCAGAUUUUGAUGUGCUAAUUCAAACUCUAAAAAGACUACCUUAUUAUUCCUGCUACUCUGCAGCCCCUCCAUAAGCAUGCAGAGACAAGGCAGGUGACAGGUAAAACCUUGUCAGCUGCUUUUGCAUUCAAAGUAUAAUUUAAAACAGUGGUUCUUAACCUUUACUGCAGCCUGCACCCCCCUUUGGUUCUCAAAAUAUGUUAUCGCACCCCUUAUCAAAAAUCAAAACGUUCUCACACCCCUUAAACCUAGAUAUAGUUUGUAUAUUACAGUAAUAGUUAUAAUAAAUACAUAGAUUUGAUGAAACAAAGCAGUUGUACUUACUGCCUGUGCUUAAUUUGUGUUUUCGAUGAUUUACCUUCUAAAAAAAUCUGGCAUGUCUUGCACCCCCAGAAAGGGCAUCUCAAACCCCCAAGGGGUGUAUGCACCCCAUGUUAAG